rnacentral:misc_RNA from 1 species
CUGUCGAGUAUGAUCUAAUGCAGGUACAAAAUAUGGACGCUCAAGCCUUCUAAUAACCAACCUCGCUUUCUCUUCCUGCAUGAUCUUCUGACGGUUUUCAUAAUAUAUAAAAUCGUCGAGUAAAGAGGUCUUUAGUGUAUGACUCUUGAAUAAUUUAAGCAUCUCCAGACCUUUUUUGAAUGGUAUCUCUUGGGUAUCUCUGCUAUUAGUAACAGGUUUAUUUUCAUUAUUCUCCAAAAUGACAUGCCUAAAGUUGUUGUUCGGCACGUCUUUGAUUAUGUGCCACUUAACAGGGAAACUUCCAUUCCAUUUAUCCUGCUGCCAAAAAUCCAUAUCCCUGUUGAAGUCCACAGGGCCAACCAUCUCUGCUACACCACAGAACUGACCACUUGCAUUGACAGAGAAAAAGAGG